rnacentral:lncRNA from 1 species
AGACCUCCAGUGGCAAUGUCCAAGAAGGAAGCCAAGAGUGUACCUUAAAGAGUGGAGAAACGUGUGCCCGUUUUAAGGAUUCUUCCAAGCUGAAAGAGAAAAGUACUUCUGCCUCAGCAUCUCGGAGAAUGUAGUUCUGCUCAUCUGGAAAACAGAACAGCACAUACUCUGAAAAGUGUGGACACGUGAAGUGUGGCAAGUGUGACCCACAAAAUUCUCGCCCAUAUUCAGGUACAUAAUAUUACAGCUACAUUUACCUGUACAGCCUUCGGAUAUUUAAAUGUCAC